rnacentral:lncRNA from 1 species
GAUUCCUGUAAAUUACGACUAUUCGAUCGUCCAAGAAACCAAACCACGAACAUUCAUAAUUUUGAAUAUUGAUAAACGGAUUUGACUUGGCUAAAGUGAGUAAUUCACUUUAUAUUUUACUAUCCAACUCCUAGAUAAGCACCGGAAUGAUGAAGAAAUUUUCCUAUAAUAGUAGUAAUAGAUAUUACUAACUCCAAUAUACAAUAGUAUUGAUUCCAUCCAUCAUAUCUCUUUGGACCUAGCAUUGAUUCCAUGCCAUUUUAGCUAGCCACACCACACUGCUUUUCUUUAUGCUCUCAUUCUCAACCUCCCACUUUAGGUAAUUUGCAAAUUACAAAUAUUAAAAUCACUCAACCUGCAACGUCAACCAUGGGUCAAUCUUGUGAUCUAAUUCAAUUAUUUAAUACAAGUGCUUAAGUUUUUUUUUNNNNNNNNNNNNNNNUUUUUUUUUUUUUUUUUUCAAUUUCAACUAAAUCAACCAUUUUUCCUUUAAUUUCUCUUUUUGCAUUUAUUAUUGAUAACAAUAGAAAGUCAUAGGGGCGCUAAAACAACAAAUUGUGACCUUAAUAAAGAGAAUCCUAUCCUAUAUAUUUGAUGAUGAAUUCAAAAAGGAAAUUCCAUCAACUAUAGACACAAAAAAAAAAAAAAAACUCAAGCAUCAAAUGACAACUUAAAGUUUGGGACUACCAUUCUGGAUCGGACUUGAGAAUGUCUUAAGCCAAAUGUCAUAUAUUUUAGGCUAUAUAAGCAUCAUAUAACUACAUUUAACGGUAUGCUUUCUAACCUUAGUCCCUACCUCAAAGUUGACGACGUUGAUUCUAACCAAGUAUGUACCACUAAACUCAUUCAUGAGAAUUUAUUCUUUUAAUUAAUCUUAAAUGAGAAAAUACUAUUUUGACUAAUGAUCAGUAAUAAUUUUUGGACUUACUGAUAUCAUGGCAUCUCCAUCUCACUGACCGGCGGAGGUGCCACGGCCGCCAAACGCCGUAACUUGAUGAAGAUUUCAUAGCAAAUCCAGACAAUGAAACAAAUGAGUCCUAAAACCACAACAACGUCCAAGAGUGUGCAGUAGAUGUUGAUAAUAUCCAUUGUUUGAUUUGGGUCUCGUAGUAGAUAGUGUUGAAAAAUGGUAUAGAUGGUGAAGUUUUGAAGUGGUGAGUGGUGGUGUUGACUUAUAAAAUAAUGAGUUUGAGAAAAGAGGAAGAACAAGUUUACACGCUUCUUCUUUUCCAUUUUGAUCGAUAGACCGAUUAGAAGAAAGAUAAGAGGAACGCAGAGCAGGAGUUCGUCGUGUUGUUUUGUUUUUGCUACAAAAAGGAAGGAAGACGAGGGAAGGAGGGAGGGAGAUCACAUCAAGUAGAAACUAGCAAGUAGAGUAGACUCAUAUUACAUUAAUUCAUUUUUCUAAAAUUAAAU